rnacentral:misc_RNA from 1 species
GAGUGCUCGUUUGCCUCGGCCGAUGUCGGUUUCCUGUGCUGCAUACCUAACGUGAAGGCAUUCAUCCGGCUAGGAUAUCCCGAUUCCGUCCUGCGCCCCUGCACCAUUCGGUGCUUGGGGAGCGGGGUGGACCUCUAAGCACUCGCCGUGCAUCACAACACCUGCGCUCUUGAUUGGGUGCUCGGGUUGAAGAUCCACGGCGACCUGCACGAUCUCUCGGAUGCGGAACACCGGUGGGUAUGAGGCCUCGUCCUCUGAUUGUCCCGAAAAUAUAGCUUCUACGCUUCUUGCGAACGACGGCCGUCUCGGUUUUGCUCGUCUGCCCUCGCGGCACCGAUCAUGCUGGGACGGCGUCGAAUGAGGAAUGCUACCUGGUUGAUCCU